AAAUGCUGAUCCUAACCCAACUCAUGCCAGUAUCAGUCACAGAGUUGAACUACUUUUUUCUGUGAAUGUUCUAGUGAUGCUUCACUGAAGGCACAAAAUACUAACUAUAUUAGUUAACACAAUUUUUUGGAAUGGAUUGCAAAAUUAGCAUAAUUUGUGGGUCUUGUGUAUGUAAAACCUGUUGAGACAUGAUUAUUCUUAUAUCCUUUUUAGUAGUCUUGUUAUCUUCCCUUGUUUUAUUAUAAACAGAAAGGAUUUCAUUUUUUUAAAUAGAAUUAGAAUCAUUGCCUUAGUUA
rnacentral:misc_RNA from 1 species